UACGUAGGGUGCAAGCGUUGUCCGGAAUUAUUGGGCGUAAAGAGCUCGUAGGCGGUUUGUUGCGUCGGCUGUGAAAACUUCACGCUUAACGUGGAGCUUGCGGUCGAUACGGGCAGACUUGAGUUCGGUAGGGGAGACUGGAAUUCCUGGUGUAGCGGUGAAAUGCGCAGAUAUCAGGAGGAACACCUAUUGCGAAGGCAGCUCGCUGGGACGCAACUGACGCUGAGACGCGAAAGCGUGGGGAGCAAACAGG
rnacentral:rRNA from 1 species